rnacentral:rRNA from 1 species
CCCAUUAGGUAGUUGGUGAGAUAACAGCCCACCAAGCCGACGAUGGGUAGCCGAGCUGAGAGGCUGAUCGGCCACAUUGGGACUGAAACACGGCCCAGACUCCUACGGGAGGCAGCAGUGGGGAAUAUUGGGCAAUGGAGGCAACUCUGACCCAGCAAUGCCGCGUGAGCGAUGAAGGUAGUUUUAUUGUAAAGCUCUUUUCUCAGGAACGAACAAAUGACGGUACCUGAGGAAUAAGCCCCGGCUAACUACGUGCCAGCAGCCGCGGUAAUACGUAGGGGGCGAGCGUUGUCCGGAAUGACUGGGCGUAAAGGGUGUGUAGGUGGUUUGAUAAGUUAGAUGUGUAAUACCCAGGGCUCAACUCGGGUGCUGCAUCUAAAACUGUUAGACUUGAGUACUGGAGAGGAUAGUGGAAUUCCUAGUGUAGCGGUGGAAUGCGUAGAUAUUAGGAGGAACAUCAGUGGCGAAGGCGACUAUCUGGACAGCAACUGACACUGAGGCACGAAAGCGUGGGGAGCAAACAGGAUUGGAUACCCUGGUAGUCCACGCUGUAAACGAUGGAUACUAGAUGCAGGAGGUAUUCACUCCUUCUGUGUCGCAGCUAACGCAAUAAGUAUCCCGCCUGGGGAGUACGGCCGCGAGGUUGAAACUCAAAUGAAUUGACG